CAAAAAAACACACAAAUACAGUUGAAGUCAGAAGUUUACAUACACCUUAGCCAAAUACAUUUAAACUCAGUUUUUCACAAUUCCUGACAUUUAAUCCUAGUAAAAAUUCACUGUCUUAGGUGAGUUAGGAUCACCACUUUAUUUUAAGAAUGUGAAAUGUCAGAAUAAUAGUAGAGUGAUAUAUUUCAGCUUUUAUUUCUUUCAUCACAUUCCCAGUGGGUCAGAAGUUUACAUACACCCAAUUAGUAUUUGGUAGCAUUGCCUUUAAAUGGUUUAACUUGGGUCAAAUGUUUCAGGUAGCCUUCCACAAGCUUCCCACAAUAAGUUGGGUGAAUUCUGACCCAUUCUUCCUGACAGAGCUGGUGUAACUGAGUCAGGUUUGUAGGCCACCUUGCUCGCACACGCCUUUUCAGUUCUGCCUACACAUUUUCUAUAGGAUUGAGGUCAGGGCUUUGUGAUGGCCACUCCAAUACCUUGACUUUGUUGUCCUUAAGUCAUUUUGCUACAACUUUGGAAGUAUGCUUGGGGUCAUUGUCCAUUUGGAAGACACAUUUGCGACCAAGCUUUAACUUCCUGAUUGAUGUCUUGAUAUGUUGCUUCAAUAUAUCCACAUAAUUUUUCUCCCUCAUGAUGCCAUCUAUUUUGUAUAGUGCACCAGUCCCUCCUGCAGCAAAGCACCCCCACAACAUGAUGCUGCCACCCCUGUGCUUCACGGUUGGGAUGUUGUUCUUCGGCUUGCAAGCCUCCCCCUUUUUCCUCCUAACAUAAUGAUGGUCAUUAUGUCCAAACAGUUCUAUUUUUGUUUCAUCAGACCAGAAGACAUUUCUCCAAAAAGUACAAUAUUUGUCCCAUGUGCAGUUGCAAACCGUAGUCUGGCUUUUUUAUGGCAGUUUUGGAGCAGUGGCUUCUUCCUUGCUAAGCGGCCUUUCAGGUUGUCGAAAUAGGACUUGUUUUACUGUGGAUAUAGAUACUUUUGUACCUGUUUCCUCCAGCAUCUUCACAAGGUCCUUUGCUGAUGUUCUGCGAUUGAUUUGCACUUUUCGCACCAAAGUACGUUCAUCUCUAGGAGACAGUACGCGUCUCCUUCCUGAGCGGUAUGGCGGCUGCGUCGUCCCAUGGUGUUUACGCUUGCGUACUAUUGUUUGUACAGAUGAAUGUGGUACCUUCAGGCGCUUGGAAAUUGCUCCCAAGGAUGAACCAGACUUGUGGAGGUCUACAAUGUUUUUUUCCUCGGUCUUGGCUGAUUUAUUUUGAUUUUCCCAUAAUGUUAGGCAGAGGCACUGAGUUUGAAGGUAGGCCUUGAAAUACAUCCACAGGUACACCUCCAAUUGACUCAAAUUAUGUCAAUUGGCCUAUCAGAAGCUUCUAAAGCCAUGACACCAUUUCUGGAAUUUUCCAAGCUGUUUAAAGGCACGGUCAACUUAGUGUAUGUAAUCUUCUGACCCACUGGAAUUGUGAUACAGUGAAUUAUAAGUGAAAUCAUUUGUCUGUAAACAAUUGUUGGAAAAAUGACUUGUGUCAUGCACAAAGUAGAUGUCCUAACCGACUUGCCAAAACUAUAGUUUGUUAACAAGACAUUUUGUCGAGUGGUUGAAAAAUACGUUUUAAUGACUCCAACCUGACACGUCGCGUGCGCGAGCGUUGUAAAAUACAUUUUGAAGUCCAUGUUAUUCAAUUAUUGCACCCACACUGCUCGCGAGUGCACACGAGCGUCUGCGUUGCUAAGGGCUAACGCUUCGAACACACCGACUGUGUUUUUGCGUCACUGCUGCAUAACAUUUUGCGCAGCUAGGCAACUAUACUUUUGCAAAUGGUCGCAUGCGGUUGGACACAUGGAGGAUAGAAUAAUUUUCGCAGUAUCCUCAAAACGGUGUCUUUUUGACACAACUACUGACAGCUACAGUGACAUAAACACAAAAAGUGCUGCUUUGAGACAAGUGUCCAUGAUAGUAGGAAUGCCAGGUCAGUUUAGUAGUGAGCUUGUGCUAGAUGUGGCUAGUUAGUGUUAGCUAACAUGAGGUGUGUGUGUGAAAGAAAUAGUCAAAUAAAUUAUGCUAGUUACUACCCCUGAUAACUUUACCAAAUAAUCAUGUUUGAAAGAGUGUGAGUGUGUAUGCUAGAUAAAUAGUAAUAGAAAUGGUAGAUACUACUGUACCCCUGAUAAUUGGUUCAGAUAAGCGUGUGUGUGUGUGUCUAUGUGUACAGUAGGUGACAUGCCCAUGAUAGCCAUCUAAUAACUAUAGUUAUGGUAGGUAAUGGUUUGGCUUAUCAUGUUCAUGUCUAUGUAGAAAAAGACUGUAGGAGGAAGUGGAGAGGACUCAGGGACAGGUAUCGGAGAGAGAGAAGUGCAGAGAAAGAGAAGAGGUCUGGGUCAGCAGCUUCAGGCCAGCAGCCUUGGCGCUUCUGCCACAUUCUUUCAUGUCUGGAUCCAUUUAUUGUGCCUCGGGCAACGAGUGGCAAUUUUACAGCCAGACACUCUACUAUGUCAUCCACAAGUGUUGUUGCCACCGGUGCAUCAAGACCCUCAACGUCACCUACAAAUGCGACCAUCACCUCCACCGGAGGAGUGAGACCCUCUACAACAUCAUCCACGAGUAUGACCACUAACGGUGACCAUGGAAGAUGAUGAAAUGGAGGAAGCACCUCUGGAUAAGUGACCACUGAGGACCUCGUUGAACAGGAUGUGGCCGUGGAGAGAAACAGAGAGAGAAACGAAGACGAACAACGUCACACCAGGCAUCAUCGGAGGUACCAGCCCCCAGAUCCACUCAACUCAUUUCAGCAGAGGCUCCUGCAAGCUGUCGAGAGGGAUGCAGCCCAACCUGAUGCUCACAGGAAGGAGGAGGAAGAGACCCUCUUUGCCAUGAGCAUGGUGCCAACACUGAAGAGGCUGCCUCAGCAAAGAAAAGCAGCAGUCAAGGUUAAAAUGUAUCAGCUGCUUUUCAAAGCCGAGUUCAAUGAAAUGGAGUCAAUUUAGCCGACCAGCUCACAGGAAGGACAGGAAGAGGAGAGGAGCUGCCGGGGCCGACCAGCCCACAGGAAGGACAGGAAGAGGAGAGGAGUUGCCGGGGCCAACCAGCUCACAGGAAAGACAGGAAGAGGAGAGGAGUUGCCGGGGCCAACCAGCUCACAGGAAGGACAGGAAGAGGAGAGGAGUUGCCGGGGCCAACCAGCUCACAGGAAGGACAGGAAGAGGAGAGGAGUUGCCGGGGCCGACCAGCUCACAGGAAGGACAGGAAGAGGAGUUGUCUGGUUGUUGUUUUGACCUCCCUCGUUGUACCUUUCUUUUCACACACGUCAGUUCUGUUUAAAUUAACUUAAUUCGUAAAGUAAUUUGUUUAUAAAGUAUUAAGAUAUUCAUUAUUAGUGUUACAUAGAUUUCUAAAUUGAAACUCAUACGGAAUUUUCACAGAUGCUCUUGGUCUCUUACGAGAUUAAAGGUCAAUAUAUUUAUUUCAUUUAAAACCACUUGAAAACCAGGGUGUUGAAACUUUUUGUGAAGUUAUGUUCCAUCGACUGGUCCGUGACGUCCAGGGGCCAUUUGUUUGUUUAGCUGUUAUGGCUACAUAUUAUUCCCUUUUUCUCAGAGACAGAGACAGAGACAGACACACACACACACACACACACACACACACACACACACACACACACACACACACACACCUCUUCAUACCUCAGAUCUCCAGUGCCCUGCCCUCUCUCUCUUUAUGGCCAUGUCUGACGUUCCCCUACUACGUCUAGGCUUUAUGAGUUGUCCCUGCAUCGGUCUGCAGUUGUGCCAAAAAUACACGCUCUUGCUGUUUUCUACAGAUUACAGGCUACACAUUCAUUUAAAUAUAUAUAUAUUUUUUACAUGCACACACCUCUUUCAAUAGUUUUUAAAAAAAAUGUACAACACACAUACCUGUCAUGUUCUUUCUUGUACUUGAAUACUUAUUAAAUUAUGUUUUCAUA